UUUUAAGAUUUUUGUGAUUUUCUUUACUUUUUAAGUAUCGUUAUCUUAAUUUCAAUUUUUUUUGCUAAUCUAUUUUAAUUUCAACUUAACCCAUAGUAUUUAAUGGGGUGUAGAGGCUGUUCGAUUCUCUGUCAGGGUGGUUGUCCCUCAUGAAUAUGACUCCCUCAUGUACAUCUUGGGUUCCCUCCCAUUCAAAACCCUCAUGGCUAACAAAUAGACACGUCAAAUACAAUUUAAAGUAUUAUUUGAAUGGGGUGCAGAUGGUGUUCCGUCCUAAGUUGUUUUUGUUUUGAUUAGGGAGAGGCCUUUUCUCCGCGGGUCUGAACUUGCAAUGCUCAGUGGACAGCGAUGGUGGAGGGAAAAUAUUCAUUUGACGUGUCUAUGUUUUUAUCCAUUGGAUUGUUUAUUUCUCAAGUGUGUUUUUUCAUCUUAAUGAAAAUGUGAGGGGAGCCGGGCCCAUUUACAACCACCCAUUCCUUCUUUUCUUGACCAUUAAAGAAGUACCAUACGAUACUUGGCUCUUGUUGUUGUGUAUCUGUUUUUUCCAUUGUGUUUAGGAAGCAUCUAUUAAUCUCACAAUGAUGGUUAUAUUUUA